AUACACUAUCACAGACUAAUAUCCAAUAUAUUUACAUGAUUUUCCUCAUCCAACCCUUUAAACAUACUCAUCAAGCAUAUUAAGACUAUUUGCAUAUCAAAACAUAUCAUUUAAUAGCCAUUCCAAUGGUUAAUUUCAACCAACAUUAAAUUGCUAUCAAUGGUAACUUUAACCUAUACAUGUCAUUAUUACCAAAAUUAGUUUACUAUUUAUAUAGAUACCGAAAAGUCCAAGGGAUAGUGUGAUGUAGCUCUGACCAACUUCCAAACUUUACGAGCCUCCGAGUACUAUAAAACAGAAGAAAUAAGACAGAGUAAGCAUUUAAUUCUUAGUAAGUUCGUAUAAUGGGAAAUUAACUUACCAUUCAUUUAUUUAUAUAAUAAACAUGCAUAAUUCAUCCAAAGUAAUUUGACAAUUAGCCUAACACAUAUAACCUCAACAAACAUGUUAAUCAUGUAUUUCAUGUGAAUAAAAAAACAAGGAUGAGCUCAUCAGGUAUACAAAUAAUAGUUUCAUUUUGAUUUCACAUGUUCUCAUGUCAGAAUUUCAUCCGUUGAAUCAUUUGAAAUCUAGAUAGAUACUUGGGUAGUACACCUGAAGCGUACAACACUAUAAAUCUGUCAAUUCACAUUCGAGAGUGUUUUUAUGAGCACUUAAACGGAAAGCUCUCUCUCAAGCACUAUAACGGGAAGCUCAUUGAGUCUUGUAACGGAAAGCUUAUCCGGGCAAUAUAACGGGAAGCUCACAAAGAGCCUAUAACAAGUAGCUCCAAAGAGUAAUUAACGAGUAGUUCCGAAGAGCAACUAACAGGAAGCACCGGAUAGCCAUAUAACGGGAAGUUCAAGCGAGCACUACUGGAAAGCUCACAAAGAGCCUUUAAUCGGGAAGCUCACGAAGAUCCAUAUAACGAGACGCUCAUAAGAGCUGCGGUGUGCCCACAACACAUGUAGGGUCACAACCGAUCGGGAUGCUCCGAAGAGCAUUUAACGGGAAGCUUGCAAGAACACUAUAAUGGGAAGCUUGAGAGGGCUUGUAACGGGACGCUCUUUCGAGUUACGGUACGUCUGCAACAUAUGUAAGAACACUGUCAUUUCGGGAAACAAAACCCUGUAUCCAUCAAAUAUCAUUAUCCAAACGGGACUUGUUUAUUUAUUAGGGAUUUUUCAGUUACAAGAUCAAUUACAUACACAUAUAUGAUAUUUACACAAUUUACAUAUUCAACACUUAAUACAAGCAUAUAAAUAUACACAAUUAAGUUACACGAACUUAACUCGACAAUUGUUCGUGACUUGUAAAUUACUAAUCUGAUACUUUUUCUUUUCCACGAUCUAACUCCGUUUUUGAUCUAUCCAGAUCUAUACGAGUAAAUUUAACACCAAUUUAAUACAAGUUACAUUCAAUUCAAUCCAAGUCACAUCUUAGGCAAAAUUACCGUUUUACCCCUAUACUUUUAAUUAAUGAUGAUACCAUCCAUAGGCUCGGAAAAUAAAAUUCAUGCAAUUUAAUCAUUAUACCAAGCCUAGAUAUUUUUAUAUAUAUCAAUAUCAGCCCAUGAAAUUUCAAAAUUUUUCCAUGAAUUCAACAACUUUUCAAUUUAAUCCCUAAAUCAUGAUUUCAUCCAAAAUCUUUUAAUAAAAUACCUUUAAAUAUCCAUUAACAUAUCAAUUUCAUCAUAUAAUAACUAAAAUCAUAUAAAUUUAUCAACAGUAUCUUCCAAGACUUUCAACAAAAUAAAAAACUAAUGAAAUGGUUAGUUGGACCUAAUUGUAAAAGUCCCAAAACAUAAAAUUUCAAGGAAAGAGCAAGAAUUAAACUUACAUGAAGAAAAUAUUGAAAAACCAGCUUAAACCCUCUUCAAUGGUUGUUUUAGAACUAAAAAAUGAUGAUGAAAAUGUUUAAAAUUUAAAUUUCCCUUUUAAUUCACUUAAAUUUCGCAAAAUUUACAAUUUUGACCUUAUUUCACAUCAAUUUCUUGAUUUUUCUAUGCUUAUGCCGCCUCAGCCAUCCCAUGUGGGUCCAAUUGCCCUUUUAGUCCUCUUUUAUUCACUAUUUAAGCUAUUUAAUCACUAUUUAUUUAAUUAGUAAGUUUUACACUUUUUCCAAUUUAGUCAUUUUUAAUUAAUUAACUACCAAAAUGUUAAAAUUUUCUAACAAAACUUUAGUACUACCUUAAUGACACUCCAUAAAUAUUUAUAAAAAUAUUUAUAGAUCGGUUUAUAGGACCGAUAUCUCAAUACCUCUUUUCUAAAUCACUUAACGUAAUAAAGCCUUAUAAAACACAAAUUACUAAUUCAAAAAUCUUUUAAAAACCACAUUUGGCUCAUAAAUAUUAAAUAAUAAAAACUCAAGAGCUUAUUUUCCGGAUUUGAUGGUCUCGAACCACUGUUUUCGACAUCACUAAAAAUCGGGCUGUUACAAUACUAUUAUGUUUAUAUGGCCAAAUAGGUAAGAUUGAAUACUUGGAAAUAUAGGAUGUUAUGACAUGAAUUGAGCUUGAAAUUGGCUUGAGUUGAAGGUUUUAUUGUAACUUGUAAUUGUGCAAAAUUGGUUGGUUAGGUUGAUGGCAAGUUGGGUGAGAAAUGUGGCAUUGGAAAUGGCUUAAUUUCAUCCACACGGGUGGAGACACGGGCGUGUGUCUCAGUUGUGUGUGACACACAGCCAUGCACACGGGCGUGUGAUUUGUUCGUGUGUCCUUUACAUCUUACAAAUUGAGAAACAAAAUGCUUCGAAUUGCUCACACGGACAGAGACACGAGUGUGUGUCUCAGCCAUGUGUAUCACACGGGCGUGUGAACCUUGCACCUUAAUUAUGCAAGUCAGUAUGCUCACACGGCCUAGCACACGGGCGUGUGGCUCGGCCGUUUGACCAAGUCAGAAUACCCCUUUAAUUGGAUACAACCUGGGACACGGGUGUGUCACUUGGCCGUGUGAGCCACACGGUCUGGCCACACGGGCGUGUGUCCCCUGCACCCAGGAAAAAUUUUAAAAUUUGGCGAAAAAUUCUCUAAGUUCCCGAUUUAGUCCUGACUUGUUUCUAACGCAUAUUUUGCGUCUCGGGGGCCAUUUAAGGGACAACAUGAUUGAAUAUAUUUGAUUUCGGAUAUCAUUAGUAAACGAUAUGAGCUAACUGUAUUUGAUCUGUAAACUCCAGUAAUGCUCCGUAACUCUAUUCCGGCGAUGGAUAUGUGUUAAGAGUGUUACAAGAAAAAUGUAGAAUAUAUAUUUUUAUUCUUUUUAAUUUUGUACAAUAACCAUGUAUGCAUGUUCAUAUUAAUACUUAAAAAUUUAAAUUAUUUUUUAAUUCUAAUCACAAUAAACAUUGUCUUAAUUUGUCGAUAAUUUCAUAAGACUUUAAAGAGUGUCUAUGUCCAAACAAAACUUGCAUGAUGAUCAUAAUUUAUCUCUCUUGUAUUAAGAAAAUCUGUCGAAUCUAGCAAUAACCUCCGCUUUCUAUUUUAAUUCCUAAAUCCUCUAGGUUCAACAUUUAAAACCUAUAGCAAGUUUUUUAUUUUUUCUUUCAAUGAAAGCUAUAAGGAAAAAAGUGAUAGGUGAUUAACAUUUAAAGAUAAUUAUACUUUAUUAAAGUUUCGUUAAGAAAUUUCAAAGUUCUUGCUCCCAAGAGUGCUUGGUUGAGAAACCCUAGAGAUAGCAGUAACUACUGUGGCUGGGGAUGGAAGCAAGCGGUGGCGACGAUAGAGAGGAAGGGGAUGAGAUCGGUCUUCUUGCUGAAGAAUUAGUUCAACUAUCAGUCAAAGGAUCGUUGAUGGUACCAAGUUCCAAACCUACAUUGAUUUGUACGGUUUGGACGGGGAAAUUAUAUAACCCAGAUAGUUUUAGGGCUCAUAUGAAAAGUUUAUGGAAGACAAGAAAAAAGUUUGAAAUCAGAUUGGUGGGACAAAACUUAUUUCUAAUAAUUUUUGAGAUGGUAGAAGAUCUGGAGUUGAUUUUGGAGGGGAGACCUUGGCUCUUUCAUAAAAACUUAAUUUUAUUUGACAGGUUACACCAAGCGGUGGAAAGAGAUCAGAUAAAGUUAACUUCAUCCCCGUUUUGGAUAAAAAUUGAGUCGUGUUUCCCAGAGUUCGACAAGAAAUAUCUAUUGCAUGCCAUUGGUUCUACGUUUGGUGGGGUCCUCAGAUCUGAAAUUAGUGAAGAUUUCUGCCGACUCAGAGUUAAUUUGGAUGUUCAAAUAACACUUAGAAGAGGUAUUUUUGUUUCUAAUGCUUAUGUUAGUAAAGUUUGGAUACCCUUCAAGUAUGAAAACUUGCCAAUAUUCUAUUUUGAAUGCGGAAGAAUGGGGCAUGGGAUGAGUAAUUGCACCCAGCUAUUACCUGCAAGAAAAAAUAAAAUCAGUGAAAAUCCUCCUUAUUCUGUGGCCUUAAAAGCAGAAUCAAGAUUAAUUGGAAAAUAAAGUGAGAAAUUUAAUAGUUUGAAGAAACAGAUGGGGGUUCAGAGUUCUUAUAUCGGAGAAGAGAGAAUUUCACCCAAUAGUAUUAAAUGUGCUGAGAAAGGAAGCAAUGAAGAGGGGGCCCGCAGGAGAAUUUGAAAUUAAAAGAAGGGGAGGAGAUGCCAGAAGAACAGGAAGGUAUUUUGGAGGUAGAAGAAGCUGAGAAGGUGAAUUUAAAGGAAAUGGGGAAGAUGCUAAAAGAAUAUGCAGGUAUUUGGAGACAAGGGGAAGCUGAGAAGGUGAGUAAUUGUAAUAGAGAGAAAAGCCAAAAUCCAAAUCAAGAGAAACAAGAAAAAUGGAUAAGCAUUCAACAUGGCACAACAACGACAAAAGCUGGAAAUAAUACGAGGAAGAUGAAGCCCAUUGAUGCAGAUUUUACCAGUGAUCAUACAGGAAAAUGAGACAGAGAUGGAAUUAAAAGGUUGAAAUAGGAUACUUCAGACUACUACAAAGGCCCUGUGGAAAUGGUGACAGACACUAAUGAGCAAAUUGAAGUUCAAGAUUUAUUGAUAUCGGCGGCUGCUAAUAGGCAAGCCGACCGGACGCAAUGAAAACCAUCAGCUGGAAUGUUCGUGGAUUGGGGAGUCCACGAGCUGGAAGAAGGCAUCAUUACUUCCUCAAGCAGCACAAUCCCCAAAUGGUCUUCUUAAUGGAGACCAAAGUUGAUAGACAGAGGAUGGAAAAAAUCAGACAGAGAUGCGGUUUUAUGAAUGGUAUUGAUAUAGAAGCACAAGGUUCGAAAGGAGGAUUAUGCUUAGCAUGGAAAUGUGACACCAAAGUAAGUUUACGAAGUUUUUUUAGGAAUCACAUUGAUGUUCUGGUUGAAGAGGAACAGGGUAACAAAGAGUGGAGAUUUACAGGUUUCUAUGGCUCUCCAUAUGUCCACAAUAAGAGUGAUUCGUGGGAUUUACUGAUAAAUCUGAGGCAAGAUAACAGCCACCCAUGAUUGGUAAGUGGUGACUUCAAUGAGAUCAUGUAUUAUUUUGAGAAAUGUGGGGGUGCCCCAAGGGAAGAGACCAGAAUGAAGGUAUUUUGAGAGGUCUUAGAGAAUUGCCAUUUAGAAGAUUUGGGUUUUUCGGGAGUAUGGUUUACAUGGGAAAGGGGAAAUUUACCAGAGACAAAUAUUAGAGAAAGACUUGAUAGGGGGUGGUAAAUGAUAAAUGGAGGCUCCUUUUCCCAGCAGGUAGAGUUAACCAUCUACCCCACACAAUGUCAGACCACUGCCCACUUCUAAUUAACACAGAUGGCGAAAGCAUUUAUAAUGGCAAUUCAAAAUUUAAAUUUGAAGCGUGGUGGUUGAUGGAGGAUACUUGUGAAAAAAUAAUUAAAGAAUCUUGGGAGUCAGGAACAGGCCCAGUAGCUGAGAAACUUGGAAAGUUGCAAGCAGAUUUAUUAGAUUGGGCGAGAAGGAUUAAGAAAGGUCGGGAGGGGCUAAAGAAAAAGUUAACGAAGCAGCUGGAAGUGUUAAUGGGGAAAGAAAGGAAUGACAACACAAUGGCAGACAUUGUAAACACUAAGGUCCACCUAAAUAUGGAAAUUGAUAAGGAUGAAAUAUAUUGGGAACAAAGAGCAAGGGCAAAUUGGCUGAAAGUGGGUGAUAAAAAUACAGUUUUUUUCACAGGUUUACUACUUCUAGAAGACGUAUAAAUUCAAUAUCCAAAUUGGAGAAAUCUGUGGGCGGAGAAGCAACUGAGGAGAGUGAGAUUAAUGAUGUGGCCACCUCCUAUUUUCAGGAACUUUUCACGACAAAAGGAAGGGCGGAAUGUUCAUAUCUCCUAUCGUGAAUAAAGGAAAAUAUUUCAUCUGAUAUCAAUAGAGAGCUAAUGUUAACCUUUACAGCAGAAGAAUUGUAUGCGGCAUUAAAGGAAAUGGGACCAACAAAAGCUCCAGGAUAUGAUAGUUUUCCAGCCAUUUUCUUUCAGAAAUUCUGGCAUAUCGUAGGUAAGGAAAUAACCAAUCUUUGCUUGGAAUUUUUAAAUAACGGUGCAAGUUUUGGUAAUUUAAAUCACACCGACAUUGUGCUGAUCCCAAAAAUUCCAAAUCCUACUAGCAUAGUUAAUUUCAGACCUAUCAGUUUAUGUUUAGUAAUCUACAAAAUGGUGGCAAAAAUAAUUGCAACUCGACUACAAGCAGUUAUUAGAAGAUGCAUUGAUGCUGCUCAAAGUGCGUUCGUCCCGGGAAGGCUAAUAACAGACAAUGUGAUACUAGCUUAUGAGAUCUUACAUACUUUUCGGCAAAAGCGCACAGGAAAAAAAGGAUACAUGGCAGUUAAACUUGACAUGAGCAAAGCCUAUGAUAGGGUUGAGUGGGGAUUCUUGAAGGAAGUGAUGUUACGAAUGGGCUUCACACCAGAGUGGGUUAAGCUGAUUAUGACUUGUGUUUCCACAACAUCCUAUGCAGUUAAUACAAAUGGUAGAAGUGGAAGAGUUUUUUCACCGUCUCGAGGCUUACGUCAAGGAGAUCCGCUGAGCCCCUUUCUUUUUCUGAUUUGUAGUGAGGGGUUAUCAUCUUUAAUGAGAUUGGCUUCAGAAAAGGGACUGAUAAAGGGUGCAAAAGCAAGCAGAAGAGGACCAGAAAUUUCACAUCUACUCUUUGCAGAUGAUUGUAUGUUGUUUGGGGAAGCAUCUGAUAGGGGUGCCAGUAUACUAAAAGAAAUUUUGAAGGAAUAUGAAAAGUGUUCUGGACAGUGCGUUAAUUUCAACAAGUCUACCAUAUUUUUCAGCACCAAUACGUCAGAAGAAAAAAUGAAUGAAGUUUCGGCAAAAUUGGGGGUUAGGAUCUCAACAAACUUAGAAUGAUAUCUAGGGCUUCCAAACAUGGUUGGUCGACGAAAGAAAGAAUCCUUUCAGCAUUUAAAAGAAAAGAUUGCUACCAGGAUUGAUGGGUGGAGUACUAGAAUGUUAUCUCAAUGAGGUAAAGAAGUCUUUAUUAAAUCGGUGUUACAGGCCAUUCCAACGUACGCUAUGUCAUGCUUCUUAUUACCAAAGACUGUUUGUGGAGAAUUUGAAAAUAUUUUUGCUAAAUUUUGAUGGCAAAAAACGCAUGGUAGGAGAGGUAUUCAUGGGUGUCAGUGGAAGUACUUAUGCCGUCCUAAAGAAGAGGGUGGAUUGGGCUUUAGAAAUAUGGCUCAAUUUAAUGUUUCACUUUUAGCUAAGCAAGGAUGACGUAUUAUAAACAAUCCAAAUUCUUUAGUUGCGCAAGUAUUAAAAGCGAAAUAUUUUCCAAGUGUUGAUUUUUUAAACUCACAGUUGGGGAAUAAUAUACCGUAUACAUGGAAAAGUAUUUGGGCUGCUAAGGGCAUCCUAGCAGAGGGCUUAUGUUGGAAGGUGGGACGAGGUACAAAAAAUUUAAUCAGUCGUGAUUAUUGGAUUCCAGUUUUAUCGCGUGAUAGAUUACCAGUUUUAAGUUCAAAUUUGAAUGAUAGUAAAGUUGCAGAGCUAAUUGAUUCAAGUAGUAGAACAUGGAAACAAGAGUUGGUAGAGCAUACCUUUCCGGAGGAUGUAACAGAGAAGAUCCUCAGUAUCCCACUAGCUGAAACACCGCAUGAAGAUUUCCAAGUUUGGAGCGUUGAAGCAACGGGUGAGUUCACAACACGGAGCGCCUAUAAACUAUUACAAAGCAUUGAAAAUAACCCUGAAGCUUAUGCUUUACAAAAUGACUACAAGGACUUCUACAGAAAACUAUGGCUACUUGAUCUUCCUUCAAAAAUUAAAAUUACAGUUUGGAAUAUAUCUUGGAAUUUUCUAGCUACGCAAGCUAAUAUGCUACUUAGAAGACUGAC
rnacentral:lncRNA from 1 species